UAUAAAAAUAUAUUUAAAUACUAUUUAGAAAUUUUAAAAUCUUUUAUAUUUCCAUUGUCAUAUUAUGUAAUGACAUAUUUGAAUAGAUUUAUUUUAAUGAUGAUUUAUGAGUUAUUACCAUAUUAUCAAAACUUACCAAAAAUUGAAAUUAACACUAAAUGUUGUUGUCCAUGUCACUUUUAACCAUAAACCGUGUCAUUAAUUUUAUUAUUUCAUGUCACAUUUUUGUGGUGAAAUUGAUUGUGGAGAUGACAUGCGUGAAAUCACUUCACAAAUAACGUCUAGACGAUUCUUAUAUUUAUCUAUUGAUAAAAAAAUUUCUUUUAACUUUUGGAACUUCUCAUAAUUCUAUCAUUUACUAUACACACGCUUUUUAUACAUCAUACUUAAUAUUGACUGAUUACUUAAUUUAAACAGAUAUUCUUUUAAACCAUACUUUGGUUUUCAAAUACAAAUAAAGAAAAAUACAAAGAAUCGCAACAAUACAAAUAAAGAACAAUUUAAUAUUCAUUUUUUUAUAUAAAUGUAAGCAAUAUUAUAUUGUAAAAGCUUUUUAUUCUCCAAAAUUCUCGUGUUGUCGUUAUAGCAAACUUGUUUUUUUUAUAUUAUAGCAUAAAACUAAAAUCAGUGAUUUUGAAAUAUUUUUAAACUUCUUCAUUUUUAGGUACCAAAUAUUGUAACAAGUUUUAUAUAUUUUUUUUUUGAUUUUGCGUGGUAAAAUUUUGACUAUUAAAUAUAUUAUCGGAUUAGGAACUUGGAUUUGUUAGGAUAAAUUGGAUGGAUAUUGUUAAGAAAUUUUAUGAUCUAAUCUAUUUAUGUUAUACACUGUAGAAGCUUUUGUUUUUGAAACAUUUUGUAAUAAAAAAAAACAAAAUAUUUGUAGACAUUCAAAAUGUUACAUCAUUAAACUAUAUAUAUAAUAUAUAUACAGUGAAACGUCUAUAAAUUAAUAAUGUUGGGUUUAGAGCAAAACUAUAAAUUUUUUUAUUAAUAUAUAGAGAUAUUAAUUUAUAGAUAUACUAAUUAAAUCAAAAAUUCGAUUUGAGACUAUAAAAUAUAGAGAUUUUCGGUUUAUAUUAAUUUUCAGAUUUUUCAGAUCUCGGCGUUUCUUCCAAGUUGACUCAGUGGGAGUCCUCCUCCUUAGUCGGUGUGACUUUCGGCGGAGAUUGGUAGGUUUCUCCGGUUCUCCGGAAGCAUCGUUUUCAUCCUGGGCCCUACAUCCCAGCGCCGGCGAUGGAUCUCCGGUCUCGUCCGGUGUUUGCUGUUCCGGUUAUCGUUGCUGUCAUCGGGUCCGCUUUCAGUGUAUUUUGGCGUUGGAGCGAGUAUCGAGUCCGGUGGUGGCGGUUUGUUUACAUCCGCCGCCUACCACAUUGAAGCUGUGCCUUUCCACUUCAAUGUAAUCUCUUCUUCUCCUCUGUCCUCUGUGAACCUGAGUUGCGAUGCCUUGGCCUGCUCUGCUCUCGUAUGUGGAUCUCGGAUUGGUGUUGGCUGUAACAUGAGCGGUAUGAGGCAAGAGUUGGUCCCUGGUUCUGUGUCAAUCAGUCUUGGUUGAUGGGUUCGGCAUUGUCUGGAUACCGAGUCUGCUUUUGCUCGUCUUGGAUACAUAUACAGGCUAGGCCAUCAUGACUUGGUCAUAAUAUUUGGAGCAAGACUCAUUUGCACUGUUUUGGCUUGCACUCACGAAUAGCUGCGACCCCACCAAAUGAGCUUCAUAAUUUUUCUUUCUUACACUUAUUAGCAUUAUUGUUUCUUUUUGAUACAGGUUUUACAAAAUUAUCAUGGAAAAUACUUGUUGAUUUGUUUAGUUGCAGAGAUCAUCUCUGUACUAACUAAAAUUUUGACUCUCUUUGUCUUCUGCACAAAACACAACACAGCGACCAAAUGGUAUUAUUUCUCUUCUCUUCACUCAGAUAUCUCUACCUCAGGGGACUUGUCUUGUUGCUUCUCAAGUGAUAUCAAGAUCAUCAACUUUGAGGGCACGAUCUUUGAUGGGGGAGGAGUAUUAACACUAAACACCUUGUAUGACAAAACUAUGAGUUGUAUAAUGUAUAUCUUUGUAUAAUGUAUAUCUAGUCCACUUACAUUGUUGUUGGCUUGGAAAUUUUCAAAGUAGAGUUGAGAGGGAGA